rnacentral:rRNA from 1 species
UACAGAGGUCCCAAGCGUUGUUCGGAUUCACUGGGCGUAAAGGGUGCGUAGGCGGUCGGGUAAGUCUGAUGUGAAAUCUCACAGCUUAACUGUGAAACUGCAUUGGAUACUAUUCGGCUUGAGAGUUGGAGGGGGGACUGGAAUUCUUGGUGUAGCAGUGAAAUGCGUAGAUAUCAAGAGGAACACCAGUGGCGAAGGCGAGUCCCUGGACAACUGCUGACGCUGAGGCACGAAAGCUAGGGGAGCAAACAGG